rnacentral:rRNA from 1 species
UAGGGAAUCUUCGGCAAUGGACGAAAGUCUGACCGAGCAACGCCGCGUGAGUGAAGAAGGUUUUCGGAUCGUAAAACUCUGUUGUUAGAGAAGAACAAGGACGUUAGUAACUGAACGUCCCCUGACGGUAUCUAACCAGAAAGCCACGGCUAACUACGUGCCAGCAGCCGCGGUAAUACGUAGGUGGCAAGCGCUGUCCGGAUGUAUUGGGCGUAAAGCGAGCGCAGGCGGUUUCUUAAGUCUGAUGUGAAAGCCCCCGGCUCAACCAGGAAGAGUGAUUGGAAACUGGGGUACUUGAGUGCAGAAGAGGAGAGUGGAAUUCCGUGUGUAGCGGUGAAAUGCGUAGAUAUAAGGAGGAACACCAGUGGCGAAGGCGGCUCUCUGGUCUGUAACUGACGCUGAGGCUAGAAAGCGUGGGGAGCAAACAGG